rnacentral:tRNA from 1 species
GCGCCUGUAGCUCAGCUGGAUAGAGCGUCGCCCUCCGGAGGCGAAGGCCGGACGUUCGAAUCGUCUCAGGCGCGCCA